GUGGGGAAUUUUGGACAAUGGGCGCAAGCCUGAUCCAGCAAUGCCGCGUGCAGGAAGAAGGCCUUCGGGUUGUAAACUGCUUUUGUACGGAACGAAACGGUCCUGGCUAAUAUCCGGGGCUAAUGACGGUACCGUAAGAAUAAGCACCGGCUAACUACGUGCCAGCAGCCGCGGUAAUACGUAGGGUGCGAGCGUUAAUGGGAAUUACUGGGCGUAAAGCGUGCGCAGGCUGUGCUGUAAGACAGGCGUGAAAUCCCGGGGCUCAACCUGGGGAUUGCGCUUGUGACUGCAGUGCUGGAGUGCGGCAGAGGGGGAUGGAAUUCCGCGUGUAGCAGUGAAAUGCGUAGAUAUGCGGAGGAACACCGAUGGCGAAGGCAAUCCCCUGGGCCUGCACUGACGCUCAUGCACGAAAGCGUGGGGAGCAAACAGGAUUAGAUACCCGAGUAGUCC
rnacentral:rRNA from 1 species